UACAAAUGAAACUGUUCUGAUACUUUACUGUCACUUACCCAAUGUAAUGUUUAUUAUCUGGUGGCUGUUGCCAACUCACUUGGUCUUCUAAGUUAUCUUGUCAAUGCUUUGUCUCAGAACAAAAUCUUUUUGAAAAGGGUUUGAAUUGCACAAAGUCUGACUAGUCAUAGGGAUAAUGUAUGUUCAUUAUUUGAGACUUGUCUUGAAGACUCUACUUAACACUCUCGAUCCACGGUCCGGUCCAUGUUCAUAACAGUUUACUCGCCUCUGUCUUGCCAUUUUACGGGACCCAGCAAGGGCUGGUAAAUGAUCGGUUCAGUUCACGUCUAGCAGCAAACCUCAACCCUUCUCUCAUACUGUAGUACUUACUGUACAUGUUUAGAUACAGGCAGACCUACCAUAGCCUCAUCAAUGUGAACAAUGCUACAUGGUAGUCUGUAUUAGUCACGUAUACAGUGAUUGGAAACACAGUGUUCAUCACUGAGUCAACCACCUCCCACCUCUGAUUACAUCGGAACAGAGACCCUCCCAUGCACCCUGGCCUUGAGUGAUCAUUCUCUCUGAUAGCAUGGCCUUCCUACUGUGCCUUUAAUGGUCAACCAGUUUACUUGUCUCUAAUAUGCUACAUGUACAGUAACUGCCUUCUUACACAUUCAUCCAUUUACUGGGCUCACACUCAGAACCAGCCCUUAAUGUCAGCUCUCAAUGAAGGAACUGAUUUCUAUUGGAGUAACUAGGUUGCUAUUACUCUCCUGAUGGUGCUUCUGAAUGGUGCUAUUUCUUAGCUAAUUGUUGUCGUUGUUGGAUGUCAUUCUGUUGAAUAUUGCAUGGUGGUAACACUUUACUUGACACCCAGUGUCAUAUCAUGUCAUAAUAUGUUAUAACAUGUCAUAAUAUGGUCAGAACACUGUCAUGACCCAUAUAUUUACACCUGUUGUGACAUAUAUUGCAUUAUUUUAUGGCUGGUUAUGACACCUACAUAAGAGUGUCAAAACCAAUGUUUAUUCAAAUGAUUAUUUUCUGCCAAGAAGUUUCCUUUCAUUUGAAAGUUUGUUUCUUAAAUCCUUUGUUGUAAUACAUUCUUUACAGUCAUGUUUUUUCAUCAUAUUUUAAAUCACUUUAUGACACUGUCAUGAAGCAUAAUGACCAUCAUGUGUCACUUUACUAGGACUAAGAAGCAUUAUGACCAUCAGAAUCAUAAAUGCCCUUAUCAGUCAUCAGUCAAAAAGAGGGUGUCUUGUCCUGCUCCUGAAAUCUGGUCCUGCAUUCAUCUCAGUCAUCAGCAACAGAGCACUGGGGUAGGUGCAUCAAUGUGUGAGCAAUUACAAAGAUAAUUUAAUAACGUACAUUUCAACAACAACCAAAAAUAUAACAUUAACAUAGUGUUGACACGUAGGCUGUGGUGUAAUGGAAUGUUUUGCCUUGUGUGGUAGGUGUUGUGGGUUCUGACACUCUUAUGUAGGUGUCAUAACCAGCCAUCAAAUAAUGCAAUAUAUGUCACGACAGGUCUAAAUAUAUGUCAUGACAGUGUUAUGUCCAUAUUAUGACAGGUUAUGACAAGUUAUGUCAGCUGUUCUGACAUAUGACAUGGAUAUGAUUGUGUCAUAACUUGUUACUUGUUAUGACGCCGUGUCAAGUAAAGUGUUACCAAAAUGGUUUUGUUUGAGGUUGGUGCCAAAGUCACAGUUGUGCUAUAUCAGUUUGUGAGAAGAGAAGUUAAACAUUUAUUUUCCCACCUUCAGUAACUGGGUAUGGGACCCAUAUCUGUUAACAACUUCUGAUACAACUGGUUGUCAGCACACUACCUGAUGCUUUGCUACACUAUCUGACCGAAAACAUAACAGAACUGUUUUAAUGAAACAAGGUGUCCUAUUUGACUGUCUGAAUAUGUAAGCGAAGUACGUUUUGCCUUCAAUUUUGAACCAUUUGUGUCCAUGGUCAUGGUGUGACCUCAGAGACAAACUGUUUUAUCAAAU
ensembl:lncRNA